AACAGAGAUGUGGAGCGAAACUCAAAAAGUAAGUCUCAGUUCGGAUUGAAGGCUGAAAUUCGCCUUCAUGAAGCCGGAAUUGCUAGUAAUGGCAGGUCAGCAUACUGCCGUGAAUACGUUCCCGGGCCUUGUACACACCGCCCGUCACACCAUGAGAGUUGGGAAUACCCGAAGCCUGUGAGCUAACGUUAAGAGGCAGCAGUCGAAGGUAGAAUCAAUGAUUGGGGUGAAGUCGUAACAAGGUAUC
rnacentral:rRNA from 1 species